GGAUUGUGGCUCAGUGGUAGAGUGCUUGCCUGCUAUAUGUGAGGUAUUGGGUUUGAUUCUCAGCACCA
rnacentral:tRNA from 1 species